rnacentral:rRNA from 1 species
UACGUAGGGUGCGAGCGUUAAUCGGAAUUACUGGGCGUAAAGCGUGCGCAGGCGGUUUUGUAAGCCAGAUGUGAAAGCCCCGGGCUUAACCUGGGAAUGGCAUUUGGGACUGCAAGGCUUGAGUGCGGCAGAGGAGACUGGAAUUCCUGGUGUAGCAGUGAAAUGCGUAGAGAUCAGGAAGAACAUCGGUGGCGAAGGCGCUCUGCUGGACCAUAACUGACACUCAGGGACGAAAGCUAGGGGAGCGAAUGGG